rnacentral:lncRNA from 10 species
ACAGUCACACACGCUGACCUCUAAGGUGGUCACUUGGUCUUUAUUCUGGUUAUCCAUGAGCUUGAGAUUGAUUUUGUAGUCACCCACCUCUAAGGCCAUCUUUGGCUUCAAAAUGAUAGAUUCUUGGGCUGGAGAAAGCAAUAAAAAGAAAUGAUGAGACCAGGGGAGGAAAAUAAAAAGCUCAUUCCAGAAUAAAAUUGCUAGUGAACUAAAGACACCCGCAAGCCGAGUGAAGAGAGCAGAGCUGCUUGGGUUUUAUUUAGGAGGCACAAAGAUGGGGGCUUCAUUCACAUCCAGCACAUCCACGGUGACGGUGGCUGUGGAGGUGGUGAGAGAGACCUCAAAAGACAGAGUCUCACUCUGUUGCCCAGGCCAGGGUGCAGUAGCACGAUCUUGGCUCACUACAACCUCUGUCUUCCAGGCUCAAGCGAUUCUCCUGCUUCAGCCUCCCAAGCAGCAGGGAUUACAAGUGUGCACCACCACGCCCAGUUAAUUUUUGUAUUUUUGGUAGAGACAGGUUUUCACCAUGUUGGCCAGGCUGGUCCCAAACUCCCGACCUCAG